GAGGGUACAGCUCAGUAGUAAAGAGUGUGCCUAGCAAGCACGAGGCCCUGGGUUAAAUCCCCAAUACCUCCA
rnacentral:tRNA from 1 species